CAAUAGCGUAUAUUAAAGUUGUUGCAGUUAAAAAGCUCGUAGUUGGAUUUCUGGUGGGAGCGAUCGGUCUGGCGCUUAGCGCGAGUACUUGCAUCGUCUCCGGCCAUCCUUGGGGAGAGUCUGUCUGGCAUUAGGUUGUCGGGCAGAGGAUCCUCAUCGUUUACUGUGAAAAAAUUAGAGUGUUCAAAGCAGGCUUAUGCCGUUGAAUAUAUUAGCAUGGAAUAAUAAGAUAGGACUUUGGUACUAUUUUGUUGGUUUGCGCACCAAAGUAAUGAUUAAUAGGGACAGUUGGGGGUAUUCGUAUUCCGUUGUCAGAGGUGAAAUUCUUGGAUUUACGGAAGACGAACUACUGCGAAAGCAUUUACCAAGGAUGUUAUCAUUAA
rnacentral:rRNA from 1 species